AUACUUACCCGGCAGGGGAGAUAACCAUGAUCACGAAGGUGGUUUUCCCAGGGUGAGGUUUAUCCAUUACACUCCAGAUGUGCUGACCCCUGUGAUAUCCCCAAAUGUGGGAAAUUCGACUGUGUUAUGC
ensembl:snRNA U1 U1 spliceosomal RNA